GACGAAGGUGGCAAGCGUUACUCGGAAUUACUAGGCGUAAAGCGCGAGCAGGCGGUUCGGCAAGUCUGUUGUGAAAGCCCCGGGCUCAACCCGGGGAGGUCAAUGGAAACUGCCGGACUUGAAUACGGGAGAGGUCACUGGAAUUCCUGGUGUAGCGGUGAAAUGCGUAGAUAUCAGGAGGAACACCAGUGGCGAAGGCGACUACCUGGCCUGUUUCUUGACGCUGAGGCGCGAAAGCUAGGGGAGCAAACGGG
rnacentral:rRNA from 1 species